AAUUAUAAAAGUUUAACAGCUUCAAAACAACAAGUUACCGAUAUUUUACAGGUAUUUCAUCACAACCUGUUUGGAUGAUUGUUAUCUAUUGUAUUUUAUCCUAUUGCUACUUUAAAUAUAUUAUUUAUUUUGAUUGUUACUUAUUAUUGUUUUGUAUUACUAAAUUUGAAAUAUUUUAUGUUAUGUAAUCAAUUAGGUGCGCCCUCUUCCAACCGUCUGGAUGCCUGCCUGUCAAUGACUCAAUGCUGAUUUACCCAUGCAUAUUGGUCACAACCUCAAUCUUGCUCUGUACAACAACCUCAAAGGUGAUUGCAGACAAAUAAAUCUUUAAUACAAUUAUUCAACAAAGUGAAAAAUUAAUCGAGUUUACACACCAGUAACUCUGAUUAUGAUAUAGGUGUUGUAUAGGUGUCCAAAGUUGCUACAAUCUUCUCCAAAAUCUAUAUAGUAGCUGGGACAACAAGUGACCUUAGAAGAU
rnacentral:lncRNA from 1 species